AGAAUAUCUAUGGGUCGAAACGUGAUGCGAUGAAUCCGAGAGAGACCGAAACUGGGACGAAGAGUGCGGCGGAAGCGGCGGGACUCCCAAGCAUGGGGGCUUCACCACAAUAGAGGCAGCGCCCCCACCCGCCCCCGCCAGCCCUCCGGAGCGAAGCCCCCAAACCCCCUCGGGAAAAGGAUGGCGGCGGCACCUACCCAGAUCGAAGCCGAGCUGUAUUACCUGAUCGCAAGGUUCUUGCAGUCCGGACCCUGUAACAAAUCCGCUCAGGUGCUAGUGCAAGAGCUCGAAGAGCAUCAGCUGAUUCCGCGCCGCUUAGACUGGGAAGGGAAAGAGCACCGAAGAAGCUUCGAGGAUCUGGUGGCAGCCAAUGCACACAUUCCUCCAGACUACCUCC
rnacentral:lncRNA from 1 species